rnacentral:tRNA from 1 species
GGUAGUGUGGCCGAGCAAGGCGGUGAGCUGUAGACUCAUGGACGGGGCGAGGAGCCUCCACUAUCA